UUAAAAAUGCGCACACUAGUAAUCUGUAUUAGUAAAGCAAAGUGGAAAAAUAAAUAAACAGUUUACACAACGCAAUAAUGCCUGUGACAGACAUGUGGUAACAAUACCAUACUAUGAACGAAUACCAGAUACAUAUGUAUCACCAUAAACUAGCACUUUACCAUGUGAGCAACCCAGUAAAAAAUGUAUGGAUUCAUACCAAAAUCGAGUAAUUAAGGAGUAAUGACUCGUUCAUCCAUUUUCAUUAAAUGGGCACAAAACGUUUAGUUUUACAAAAAUCUUCUUCGCUUAUUACUACAAAAUAAAUGGAUAAAGGAUAAAUAAUAACGGCAAAUUAUAAUUGUUAACUGUUGUGAAACUCCUUUAGCUUUCAAUAAACGCGUAUUUUGACACUUUAAAUUAGUCUGAAUUUUGUAAUCAACGCGUGAACGUGAAUCAAGUAUCGCGAAUAUAUACAGUUGUUUUACGGGUAAAAGGCAAUUAGUGAAAAACGAAGCUUUAAAAUAAUAUGGAAAAUAAACUAGCCGAAAUCGGGACGUUAAAAGAAACUAUGUGCAAACAGACAGUAAUAUUGGAUGCGAUUGGAAAAACCUUACGCCCAAUUAGUAUUGACUUGCAAAUUUGUCCAAUCAAUUCUCUGGUUGAGCUAAACAAAAGAGCUGAUUAAAACAAACCGAAAUCCGAAGUGAUUUGCUAUAUAAAAUUCAUGUUCGAUAAGAUCUAACUUGAAAAGCGCUUACCAAAGAUUUUACACAACAACGUUUUGCUAAAAGUCAACUGGGAUGCCUCGACAAACAAAACACCGAUAAAUAAUUUCCUUUUUUUC